GGGGCCUUAGAUCAGUGGUAGAUUAUGUGAUUCCAGUCCACAGGGUCGUCCGUUCGAUCCGGGCAGGCCUCA
rnacentral:tRNA from 2 species